AUUGAACGCUGGCGGCAGGCCUAACACAUGCAAGUCGAGCGAGCGGCGGACGGGUGAGUAAUGUAUGGGGACUGCCCGAUAGAGGGGGAUAACUACUGGAAACGGUAGCUAAUACCGCAUACUAUCGGAUAACCCAGAUGGGAUUAGCUAGUAGGUGAGGUAACGGCUCACCUAGGCGACGAUCCCUAGCUGGUCUGAGAGGAUGAUCAGCCACACUGGGACUGAGACACGGCCCAGACUCCUACGGAGGCAGCAGUGGGGAAUAUUGGACAAUGGGGGAAACCCUGAUACAGCCAUGCCGCGUGUAUGAAGAAGGCCUUCGGGUUGUAAAGUACUUUUGGCAGAGAGGCGUUACCUGCAGAAUAAGCACCGGCUAACUCCGUGCCAGCAGCCGCGGUAAUAC
rnacentral:rRNA from 1 species